rnacentral:misc_RNA from 1 species
UUUCCGUAGGUGAACCUGCGGAAGGAUCAUUACAGUGUUCCCUGCCCUUCGGGGUAGGGUCGCCACCCUUGAUUAUUUAUGAGUGUUGCUUUGGCGGGCCUCGCGGCCUGGCCGCGCCCCGGCUUCGGCGGGGGAGCGCCCGCCAGAGGAUUCUACAAACCUGAUUAUUAGUGUCGUCUGAGUACUACAUAAUAGUUAAAACUUUCAACAACGGAUCUCUUGGUUCUG